UGGUAGUCAGAAAGCAUAAAUAAAUGUAUCUCAUAUGUUUCCAAUAUCUUUUCUUUCUAGAUAAGAUAAAUGUGGAACCCAUGCCUGCUCAAGCCUGUUGUGGGGUCAUGGUGCGCCCUCUGGUGGUCCACCUUUUUCAAUGGCUGCACCUGCCCAGAUGAGCAAACUAAGGGACUAACUCCUGGGCUCCCUCUGGAUCUUGCUCGCUGCCCAGCUGAGCAUGCGCAGGAAGUCAGGCAAUCAGAGCGCUGAACUGGAUCUUGGAAGCGUACAAGUCCGACUCUCGCCCCUUUUCCAUCUGUAGCCUUAAUCUCAUCUACAACAUCCUAACGAAGUGGUCAACCAACCUCUGGUGGAAUGUAAUCAGUGACUAAAACUCCUGGACAGCCCCUCCAGUUUUGAACAGCUAAACUCAUUUGAACAUCUUUCUCUUAAGAACAGGUAUCAGAACAAAAUGUCCACCUCCGUUUUUCAAGGCGCCUAAAAAUGAAAAAAAUGUCAAAGCACGUUGACUAAAACGGUGGGACACUUCAAAUAUUUACAGUCAAUAAUUAAAAUUAUAUAUGACUAUUUCAGAUCCUUUAGCAAGGCAGCUCUGUGUAACAUCAUUCAAAAUAACAGAAAUUUACAUUUGAGGGCUCUUCAUCACCUCCUGAGAUAUGCCCAUUUUAUGGCUAUAUUUUUGAGAAUACAACAAAAAUAGAGAAAAAUAUAUGUACACAUAUAGUAUGCAUAUGUACAUGUACAGAUGGUGUGUUUGCACGUGCAUAGAUGGGGCCGUGGGAGGAUAGAUAUCUCGGGUUGUUCUGAGGAGUGGCAUUGGGCGGGGAGACUGGGACAGGAGAAAACGAGGAGGCCUUUUACUUUCCACCUUAUAUGUUUUGCUAUUGUUUGAAUAAUUUUUUUUUACAAAAGAAUGUGCUAUUUUUCUCUUUAAAACAUUUCUCUCAAAUUUUAAAAAACAGCAGACAAGAGAAAUCAUUUAAAUUGAGCUGCAAUCUGAUUGCCUGGAGUUUCCAUUUUAUACUGCCCUUGUGGCGACUCAAAAU
rnacentral:lncRNA from 1 species